rnacentral:rRNA from 1 species
AGGAAUAUGUCCAGAGGUGGGGGACAACCCCGGGAGACUGGGGCUAAUACCGCAUAUGAGCUGAGGCUCAAAGCAGUGAUGCGCCUUUGGAGUAGCCUGCGUCCGAUUAGCUUGUUGGUGGGGUAAUGGCCUACCAAGGCGACGAUCGGUAGCUGGUCUGAGAGGACGACCAGCCACACUGGGACUGAGACACGGCCCAGACUCCUACGGGAGGCAGCAGUGGGGAAUAUUGGACAAUGGGCGCAAGCCUGAUCCAGCAAUUCCGCGUGGGUGAAGAAGGUCUUCGGAUUGUAAAGCCCUUUCGACGGGGACGAUGAUGACGGUACCCGUAGAAGAAGCCCCGGCUAACUUCGUGCCAGCAGCCGCGGUAAUACGAAGGGGGCUAGCGUUGCUCGGAAUUACUGGGCGUAAAGGGCGCGUAGGCGGCUUAGUUAGUCAGGCGUGAAAUUCCUGGGCUCAACCUGGGGACUGCGCUUGAUACGGCUAGGCUAGAGGAUGGAAGAGGGUCGCGGAAUUCCCAGU